CUUAAACUCCCAAGCUCAACCGUAUUCUGCUUCAGACUCCCAAACAACACUGUGUACAUGAACCUCCAUGCCUGAUGGUCCUGUUGGACAGGUUGGCUGGUCUUGAAUGGUGGGGCCUGAACUUGGGACCUGAAAAGGGAGGUCUGUGAAGGACACAGCAGGUGGAACGCUCAUACAUUAUUAAGGUGGUAGUGUGGAAGAAAAUGAAGUUCAACGUCUGCCUGAGUGCCUAGCAUGAUGUAUGGAGCAGAGGGUGCCGGUCCUGAUGAUGUGGCUGCUGCUGCUCUCCCACAGGAGCUGGAGUGAGAUUUGCUGAACCUGUGAUCCUGAUCUCCGAUACUAAAUCUUGCAGCCUGGGAUGGGAAGGAGAGUAUAGUGAUGGUUUAUGAUUCCUGGCUUCUUCAUAGACCUGCACAAAUUUCCCAGACCUCUGUGAAUUAAUCAUUGUGGAUCCGGCUGAGGAACACCUAUCUGUUUUUCCAAAAAUGAAUCUGUGACUGAGUGGCCAUUUAUCCACACUGCACCUUGGGAUGUGGAGGCCAGUAUAGUGCUCAUCUGCUGUUGAAAUAGAAGGCCUGGACAAUAGGUGCCUCAGAAAUUUCCCCUCUGGGAAGAGAGACUCAGAGCCAUCGAACACGAAUAUGAAGUUGAUGGGUGACUAAAGCUCCUCUUCAGAAUAUCACUGGAAUUCAGAGUUGUGCUAGACGGGUCAGGAAACCAAAUUGAAGGCACUGAAAAGGCUCCACAAACUGAGGAGGCAGAGCGGGAUAAAGGUUUUUUUUGCUGUUGACAUUCAGUACUUGGGGACUGGGACAGCUCAAACAGAUCUUUAGUAGUUGGUAGCAGCAAUACAUUGUAAUUUAGGAGAGGGAAAAGAAGAUUCAGAGUCAUGGACUUACACAUACCCACCACAAAAACAUUUUCUUGUCCUUUGAUCGAAGUUAUGAGAAUUGUAAUUUAACUAAUUGUGUGUUCAUUGUUAAUAAUCAUACUGCAAUUAUGGUAUUAACCUGUCAAUGCUUAUAACCUCUUUAGUUCACAGUGAAGGUGUUAACUGGAUGGAAAAAGAUUAGAGCUCAUCUGAGAGGAAUUUGUCAUGCUGAUGAGUCCUUAGAUUUAGUGUAAUUAAAAAGGCAAAUUUGGAUUUUAAUGCAGCUAGAACUGCUGAAGACAUCCUGGACCAAUUUUUAAAGGUCAUGCCAUCUUGGUCAUCCUUUACUCCUCUAUUGGGAGGUAUUGGGCCAUAGGAGCAUGUGUAUUGCUGGGCAUUACUUGUGUGCCUGUGAUUUUCAAGUUUGCUUUUGAACUCUACAUGGGAAGUUGGCUCAGAGGUGUGUGGCAUCAAGCUAUGCACUCUCCCUUCACCCUUUGUAAACAGAGGCUGGUAGUCAAAGACGGGUAAGAUCUUUUUUGCCUCCAGUCAACCUAAGACAGGGCAUCCAUGAUGGAAUGUGUGUACCAAUGACGGGUAAGUCUGGGAGGUUGAAAAAGACAACCUAAGACAGGCACAGUCGUCUGUCCUGUGGCAGAAGCACGGGCAUUAAUAAAAGGGAAAUUUUUGUGGGACUCCACAGUGACUCCAUCCCAUCUUGACUUAAGGUCAGGAGUUCGAACUAAUUCUUGCUCCUCAAGGCCAACAAAUAGGAUGCUUGACCAAAGGCGUGGCUAAUUGAUACUUACUCUUUUAAGACCAAAUAAUUGGAUGUUUGACUUAGGGCAUGGUGACUAUAUGUUUUGAGAAUUUAGGAGGUAAUUGCACUUGUUUGUUUCUUGUAUAUGAUUACGGAGUCUUUUGUCCUCUGCUUUUGCUAUGGGUAUAAAGGGCUAUGAGAAAUUAAUUUGGGGCUGCUACAGUAUUCACUGAGAGCCCUUCAAACUCUA